GGAGUUUACUGUUUAUGUUUCUAGAAAUUUCGCGCUUCUCCUCAAAAUCAUUUUCUCUCUCUGCUCUGCUUUUUUUUUCUUCUUCUCCAUUUUUGGGAGCAAUUUCACGACGAAAACUCGAAGCAGACAAAUAUUUGAACUUUACUUUUGCACUUUUCUCUUCCCAUUUUUCUUUUUCUUUUUCUGGUUUCAGAAAGUUUUGAGGAUUUGUAAUAUUUUUUCUGCUCUGUUUUGCGGCGCUUUCAGAAUGCAAUUAUAUUGGUGAAAGGCGCUGGAAGCUUUUUUGUUUGCAUUGAAGAUUGACAUGACCGGAGCUAAUCGCAAUGAAAACUUGGUGAAGUUGAAACAAAGUUGGUGAACUGUUGUAUUACAAAGUGGCAAAAGUGAUGGCUUCUGUGCUGGCUUCUCUGUUUCCAAAACUGGGAUCUUUGGGUACUUCAGAUCAUGCUUCUGUUGCAUCUAUCAACCUCUUUGUGGCACUCCUUUGUGCUUGCAUUAUCAUUGGUCAUCUCUUGGAGGAGAACCGCUGGGUUAAUGAGUCCAUUACUGCCCUCAUAAUUGGUUUGGGUACAGGAGUGGUUAUCUUGCUUGUAAGUGGUGGAAAGAGCUCACACCUUUUGGUUUUCAGUGAAGAUCUCUUUUUCAUAUAUCUACUUCCUCCAAUCAUAUUUAAUGCAGGGUUCCAGGUAAAAAAGAAGCAAUUUUUCGUGAACUUCAUGACUAUAAUGCUGUUCGGAGCCAUUGGUACCCUGGUCUCAUGUGCCAUUAUAUCAUUAGGUGCCAUUCAAACUUUCAAGAAGUUGGACAUUGAAUUCCUAGAUAUUGGGGAUUAUCUUGCAAUUGGAGCAAUAUUUGCUGCCACAGAUUCCGUCUGCACAUUGCAGGUCCUACAUCAGGAUGAGACACCCCUCCUUUACAGUCUUGUAUUUGGAGAAGGAGUUGUAAAUGAUGCUACAUCGGUGGUGCUUUUCAAUGCUAUUCAAAACGUUGACCUUACGAGCUUGAAUCCCAGUAUAGCCCUCAGUUUCCUUGGCAACUUCUUCUAUCUGUUCCUUGCUAGCACUUUACUGGGAGCAGGAACUGGUCUUCUUAGUGCUUACAUUAUCAAGAAGCUGUAUUUUGGCAGGCACUCCACAGAUCGUGAGGUUGCCCUUAUGAUGCUCAUGGCUUAUUUAUCAUACAUGCUGGCCGAACUAUUCUAUUUGAGUGGGAUUCUCACCGUAUUUUUCUGUGGUAUUGUGAUGUCUCAUUACACUUGGCACAAUGUGACCGAGAGUUCAAGAGUCACUACAAGGCACACUUUUGCAACUUUGUCAUUUCUUGCAGAGACUUUCCUCUUCCUCUAUGUGGGCAUGGAUGCUUUGGAUAUCGAGAAGUGGAAAUUUGUUGGUGACAGGCCUGGAUUAUCAAUUUCCGCGAGUUCGAUACUGAUGGGACUAAUCUUGCUGGGGAGAGCUGCUUUUGUUUUUCCAUUAUCAUACUUAUCCAACUUAAUGAAGAAAUCCUCGGAAGAAAAAAUUACCUUUAGGCAGCAAGUGAUAAUAUGGUGGGCAGGUUUGAUGAGAGGCGCAGUGUCCAUGGCACUGGCAUAUAAUAAGUUCACUCAUGGGGGACACACUCAACUGCAGGACAAUGCAAUAAUGAUUACCAGCACGAUAACCAUUGUUCUAUUCAGCACAAUGGUAUUUGGUCUAAUGACAAAACCCCUUAUAAGUCUCCUGCUGCCACCACAGAGGCAAUUGAGUACAGUGUCAUCAGGUGCAAAUACUCCUAAGUCUCUAACAGCCCCACUCCUAGGCAGUCGAGAGGACUCUGAAGGUGAUUUAAAUGUCCCAGAUCUUCCUCACCCACCAAGUUUGAGGAUGCUACUUACCGCACCAAGUCAUAAAGUGCAUCGGUACUGGCGCAAGUUUGACGAUGCAUUCAUGCGCCCUAUGUUUGGUGGUCGGGGAUUUGCUCCUCCUGCUCCUCGUUCUCCAACGGAACACGGUCCAUGAUGUGCACUAGAAAAAUGAAAUUGAUGUAAAAAAGGAAGUCGCCAAGGGACGUCCAGGGAAUCCUAAAGAUUCUGUGUACACAAUUGCUGACAGCUUCACCCAGCAAAAUCCCCUCAUUUGCAGUGGUGGAUUUACGAAACGGUGAAGCUCUGGCUGACAACGGCGAGUAUGUAAGUUAAUCCUGAAAAUGGCAAUAUCUCUAUUCAAACUUAUUGUAAAUUUUGGCUGCUUAAAUGUUGCCAUCUUCUUUUUGCGUGGUGUGGUAUUUAUAUAUAUCCCAUUUGUAAUGUUUUAUGAAGUUGAGAAAGAAAUAAUUGUCAUAGAGUCAUUUUCAUUUCCAUAGUAUCGACAUGAGAUUGAUACUUC